rnacentral:pre_miRNA from 1 species
AGAAGAAUUCUUGGUCCAUAUGGUAAUUCUAUGUUUAGCUUUUUGAGGAUCUGUAAGGUUGUUUUCCAAGGUGGCUGCACCAUUUCACAUUACUUCCAACAAU